UGGCAUCUUUAGGAAAAUGGAACCACACUAAUCCAUACCGAACUUAGUUGUGAAACAUUUUUACAGCAAAAAUACUUUAAAAGAGAUUUUAUGGGAAAAUCGCAUGAUGCCAAAUA
rnacentral:rRNA from 1 species